rnacentral:rRNA from 1 species
AGCGAACGCUGGCGGCAGGCCUAACACAUGCAAGUCGAGCGGCCGUAGCAAUACGGCAGCGGCAGACGGGAGAGUAACACGUGGGAACGUGCCCUUUGGUUCGGAAUAACGCAGGGAAACUUGCGCUAAUACCGAAUAAGCCCUUACGGGGAAAGAUUUAUCGCCAUUGGAGCGGCCCGCGUCUGAUUAGCUAGUUGGUGGGGUAACGGCUCACCAAGGCGACGAUCAGUAGCNGGUCUGAGAGGAUGAUCAGCCUCACUGGGACUGAGACACGGCCCAGACUCCUACGGGAGGCAGCAGUGGGGAAUAUUGGACAAUGGGCGCAAGCCUGAUCCAGCCAUGCCGCGUGGAUGAUGAAGGCCUUAGGGUUGUAAAGUCCUUUUAGCGGGGGAAGAUAAUGACGGUACCCGCAG